CCCUUAGAUGUCCUGGGCCGCACGCGCGUUACACUGAUGCAUUCAACGAGCUUAUAACCUUGGCCGAGAGGCCUGGGCAAUCUUGUUAACGUGCAUCGUGAUAGGGAUAGAUUAUUGAAAUUAUUAAUCUUGAACGAGGAAUUCCUAGUAAACGCAGAUCAUCAAUCUGCAUUGAUUACGUCCCUGCCCUUUGUACACACCGCCCGUCGCACCUACCGAUUGGAUGGUCCGGUGAAGCCUCGGGAUUGUGGUUCUUGCCGCUUUAUUGUGGCGUCACCGCGAGAACUUGUCUAAACCUUAUCAUCUAGAGGAAGGUGAAGUCGUAACA
rnacentral:rRNA from 1 species